GCUUCUGCAACCUAUUUGUUUUUUACUUCUUCCUUUUCUUAAGCCAAGCAACCUGUACCAUCUUUUCUUCCUCCUUCUUCCUUUUCCCGGCGCCGUUGAAGCCUACAGUUUCAAUCAAGCGUUGCCGACCAUUUUCCACUUCUCAGGUUCCAUUUUCGGUUCCACUCUUAGUUUUUAUUCCCGGUCGCUUUUCGGUUUCGGUUUGCAUUUGGGAUGCUUCUUCCCGCAACAUGUCAAGACUCCCAAGUCGGGACGAAGAUGGUUCCCCAUGGUCUCUGACAAAGACAAUUCCUUCUGGUUUCUUGAUUUCUUU
rnacentral:misc_RNA from 1 species